UAACACGUAAACAACCUGCCUUCAGGAUGGGGACAACAGACGGAAACGACUGCUAAUACCGAAUAAGUUCCAAGGGCCGCAUGGCCCAUGGAAGAAAAGGUGGCCUCUACCUGUAAGCUAUCGCCUGAAGAGGGGUUUGCGUCUGAUUAGCUGGUUGGAGGGGUAACGGCCCACCAAGGCGACGAUCAGUAGCCGGUCUGAGAGGAUGAACGGCCACACUGGAACUGAGACACGGUCCAG
rnacentral:rRNA from 1 species